rnacentral:pre_miRNA from 1 species
UUUACAUUUGCACCGUCGGUCUACCGAGCAAGAUCCCCCGCUCGGUGGAAGAUCUUACCUAUGUCGU